CUAAUACUGUUUGGUAAAGAUGCC
rnacentral:miRNA from 1 species